rnacentral:lncRNA from 1 species
ACCAAGGAUGCGUGAGCACAAAGAAAAGACCCUCAGAGGACACAGUGAGAAAAUGGUUAUCUGCAAGCCAAGGAGAGACCAAACCUGCCGGCACCUUAAUCUUGGACUCUCAGCCUCCAGAACUGUGAGGAAUAAACUUUUGUUGUUUCACUAUCACA